CGGGGUGUAGCCCAGUGGUAGGGCGCUACGUUCGGGACGUAGAGGUCGGGAGUUCGAGUCUCCCCACCCCGACCA
rnacentral:tRNA from 1 species